rnacentral:rRNA from 1 species
UGGGGAAUUUUGGACAAUGGGCGAAAGCCUGAUCCAGCAAUGCCGCGUGUGUGAAGAAGGCCUUCGGGUUGUAAAGCACUUUUGUCCGGAAAGAAAUCCUUGGCUCUAAUACAGUCGGGGGAUGACGGUACCGGAAGAAUAAGCACCGGCUAACUACGUGCCAGCAGCCGCGGUAAUACGUAGGGUGCAAGCGUUAAUCGGAAUUACUGGGCGUAAAGCGUGCGCAGGCGGUUUGCUAAGACCGAUGUGAAAUCCCCGGGCUCAACCUGGGAACUGCAUUGGUGACUGGCAGGCUAGAGUAUGGCAGAGGGGGGUAGAAUUCCACGUGUAGCAGUGAAAUGCGUAGAGAUGUGGAGGAAUACCGAUGGCGAAGGCAGCCCCCCUGGGCCAAUACUGACGCUCAUGCACGAAAGCGUGGGGAGCAAACAGGAUUAGAUACCCUGGUAGUCCACGCCCUAAACGAUGUCAACUAGUUGUUGGGGAUUCAUUUCCUUAGUAACGUAGCUAACGCGUGAAGUUGACCGCCUGGGGAGUACGGUCGCAAGAUUAAAACUUAAAGGAAUUGACGGGGUCAUAGCUGUUUCCU